GAUGAAGAACGUAGCGAAAUGCGAUACUUGGUGUGAAUUGCAGAAUCCCGUGAACCAUCGAGUCUUUGAAUGCAAGUUGCGCCCGAAGCCAUUAGGCCGAGGGCACGCCUGCCUGGGUGUCACACGUCGUUGCCCCCCCAUCUACUCCUUCGGGAUUGCGGGGGGCGGAUGAUGGCCUCCCGUGCGCCUCGUCGCGCGGUUGGCAUAAAUGCCAAGUCCUCGGCGACGCACGCCACGACAAUCGGUGGUUGCGAAACCUCGGUUGCCCGUCGUGUGCGGUCGUCGCGCAUCGAGGGCUCGAAAAAAUUGCCGGGCUCCGGCUCGGCUUUCAACGCGACCCCAGGUCAGGCGGGGUUACCCGCUGAAUUUAAGCAUAUCAAUAAGCGGAGGA
rnacentral:misc_RNA from 1 species